rnacentral:rRNA from 1 species
GACGUAGGGGACGAGCGUUGUCCGGAUUCAUUGGGCGUAAAGCGCGCGUAGGCGGUUACGCAAGUCGGUUGUGAAAAUCCGGGGCUCAACCCCGGACUUGCAGUGGGUACGGGCAGACUAGAGGUAGGCAGGGGAGAGCGGAACUCCUGGUGUAGCGGUGGGAAUGCGCAGAUAUCAGGAAGAACACCGGUGGCGAAGGCGGCUCUCUGGGCCUUACCUGACGCUGAGGAGCGAAAGCGUGGGUAGCGAACAGG